rnacentral:tRNA from 1 species
AGGAGAGGUGGCUGAGCGGUUUAAAGCGGUAGAUUGCUAAUCUGUUGUACGUUUAUUAUUACGUACCGAGGGUUCGAAUCCCUCUCUCUCCUA